rnacentral:rRNA from 1 species
GAGUUUGAUCAUGGCUCAGAAUGAACGCUGGCGGCGUGCCUAACACAUGCAAGUCGUGCGCGAACGGGGCUUCGGCUCCUAGUAGAGCGGCGAACGGGUGAGUAACACGUGGGUAACCUGCCUGGGAGUGGGGGAUAACCUGGGGAAACUCGGGCUAAUACCGCAUACGUUCCCGGGGCUUCGGCUCCAGGAGGAAAGACAGCCUCUGCUUGCAUGCUGUCUCUCCCAGAGGGGCCCGCGGCUGAUUAGCUAGUUGGUGAGGUAACGGCCCACCAAGGCGACGAUCAGUAGCCGGCCUGAGAGGGUGAUCGGCCACACUGGAACUGAGACACGGUCCAGACUCCUACGGGAGGCAGCAGUGGGGAAUAUUGGACAAUGGGGGCAACCCUGAUCCAGCAACGCCGCGUGGGGGAUGAAGGUCUUCGGAUUGUAAACCCCUGUUGGGAGGGACGAAGGCUCGAGGGUUAAUCACUCUCGCGCUUGACGGUACCUCAAGAGGAAGCCCCGGCUAACUCUGUGCCAGCAGCCGCGGUAAUACAGAGGGGGCAAGCGUUAUUCGGAAUUAUUGGGCGUAAAGGGCGCGUAGGCGGCCGUGCAAGUCCUGGGUGAAAUCCCUCGGCUCAACCGAGGAACUGCCCCGGAAACUGCACGGCUUG